rnacentral:rRNA from 1 species
GAUCCUGGCUCAGGACGAACGCUGGCGGCGUGCCUAACACAUGCAGGUCGAGCGGAGACAGUGAGUAGCUUGCUAUGAGCUGUUUUAGCGGCGGACGGGUGAGUAACGCGUGAGCAACCUUUCCCAGACAGGGGAAUAACACACCGAAAGGUGUACUAAUACCGCAUAAGACCACGGGAUCACAUGGUUCUGGGGUAAAAGAUUUAUCGGUUUGGGGUGGGCUCGCGUCCGAUUAGGUAGUUGGUGAGGUAACCGG